ensembl:snRNA U6 U6 spliceosomal RNA
GUGCUCGCUUCGGCAGCACAGAUACUAAAACUGGAACGAUCCGGAGAUUAGCAUGAUCCCUGGGCAGGGAUGACACGCAAGUUCCCGAAGCAUUUCCACAAGGA